rnacentral:rRNA from 1 species
UAUGUAGGGUGCAAGCGUUAAUCGGAAUUACUGGGCGUAAAGCGUGCGCAGGCGGUUGUGCAAGACCGAUGUGAAAUCCCCGGGCUCAACCUGGGAAUUGCAUUUGUGACUGCACGGCUAGAGUGUGUCAGAGGGGGGUAGAAUUCCACGUGUAGCAGUGAAAUGCGUAGAGAUGUGGAGGAAUACCGAUGGCGAAGGCAGCCCCCUGGGAUAACACUGACGCUCAUGCACGAAAGCGUGGGGAGCAAACAGG